GACGAACGCUGGCGGCGUGCUUAACACAUGCAAGUCGAACGGAAAGGCCCUGCUUUCGUGGGGUGCUCGAGUGGCGAUCGGGUGAGUAACACGUGAGUAACCUGCCCUUGACUUUGGGAUAACUUCAGGAAACUGGGGCUACUAUCGGAUAGGAGCUCCUGUUGCAUGGUGGGGGUGGGAAAGUUUCGGCGGGAGGGGAUGGAUUCGCGGCUUACCGGCUAGUUGGUUGGGGAGUGGCAUACCCAGGCUUUGACGGGUAGCCGGCCUGAGAGCGUGACCGGCCACAUGAGGACUGCGAGAGGGCGCAGAGUCGUAUGGGGGGCAGAGGUGGGGAGUAUUGCACAAUGGGCGGAAGCGUGUUGCAGAGGCGCCGCGUGUGGAAUGACGGCCUGCGGGUUGUGAACAGCAUUCGCCUAUGACGAAGCGUGAGUGACGGUAAUGAGUAAAGAAGCACCGGCUAACUACGUG
rnacentral:rRNA from 1 species